GGGGAAUUUUGGACAAUGGGGGCAACCCUGAUCCAGCCAUUCCGCGUGAGUGAAGAAGGCCUUCGGGUUGUAAAGCUCUUUUGUCCGGAACGAAACGGAUACGUCUAAUACGCGUGUCUACUGACGGUACCGGAAGAAUAAGCCCCGGCUAACUACGUGCCAGCAGCCGCGGUAAUACGUAGGUGGCAAGCGUUGUCCGGAUUUAUUGGGUUUAAAGGGUGCGUAGGCGGUCUUAUAAGUCAGUGCUGAAAUAUCCCGGCUUAACCGGGAGGGUGGCAUUGAUACUGUAGGACUUGAGUAAAGUUGAGGUUGGCGGAAUUGACGGUGUAGCGGUGAAAUGCUUAGAUAUCGUCAAGAACACCGAUAGUGUAGACAGCUAACUAAGCUUUAACUGACGCUGAGGCACGAAAGUGUGGGGAUCAAAC
rnacentral:rRNA from 1 species